CAUCCUGACACCAAUAAAUUUUGUAGCAGUUGGACUCCCGAUCACACCUGUAAUGCCGAAGAAAUCGAGCAGUACUUCAAGACCCUGGGCAGUACUCUACUUCACGACGACACCGAGAAUGGACGAGCCGCCUUCCAGCUUCCGAUCUCCAGCACGAGUGUCGAGGAAGCAAUGCCGAGUACGAGCGAUGGAGAUAUUGAAGCAGCACCAGACUUCUUGGGAACCGACAUGAGGAAUGCUGCUACUGACUCCCCGGAAAGCGAACACUGCAAAGAUAUCAACAAUGGGCACGGCGACGUCGACCGCGGCGACAAUGCAUCAGGGGAAAGGGCCCACAAAUGCGAAAUGUGUGAAAAAUCGUUUAAAUACAAACAUAAUCUCGUGGCGCAUCACCCCACGCAUACCGGCGUCAAGCCAUUUCGUUGUGGCAUAUGUAGUAAAUUGUUUGCACGGAGUUCUUCUCUCAGUAAACAUCGGCACACGCAUACAGGCAAGAAGCCCUUUCUAUGCGACAUAUGUGGUAUGUCGUUUCCACGGAAGGAUAAUUUCACCUCACAUUCUCUUACACAUGAAGACGAGAGGCCCUUCGAGUGCACGAAGUGCACUAAAUCCUUCAAGUAUCUCAGAUGCCUUCGUUGGCAUGAACGUCAACAUACGUGAGAGGAGCGGUAUAAAUAAUAACUAUAUAUGUGGUCAUUCUUUGGCUAUACUGCUAUCUCUUAGUCUUUCUCAAAUUGAGGAAGACUAAGAAUUAGAGAAAAAAACCCAAAUCAAUUACUCCAAUGUAUCAAGAACCAACAGCACUGUUAUAGUGCAUGUAUCCUUUCACUAAUAGGAUUUGUAAGAACUCGUUCGAGUAAAAAAAAACAAUACGUAACCGCCUUCUCGGCUUGAAUGAAGGGCGAUUUCAGUGCCGCGCUGCGGUGUGCCUUUCAGAAGAAAUUCUUGACCAUUGAAUAACAUCAGUGCUAAUUUUUGUGUUAUGUGUGCGGCAAUUUAAAAAAAAUUGUUUUAAUUCACCUCAUACCUUGUGACAUGUACACGUGGGCGUUCGUAGCAGUGAAAUAUGUGUGCAUAGAUCAAUCGUGUAAGCCAACUUUUACUUCGAGACUUUAGCGAGAAGCAGUGCAGAACGAGCAAUUGUACUCGCGCUCUUUCUUAAAUCAAAAAGUUUAUUCAAACGACGCUUGUGAGAACUACUUUUUUAUCGUGAUAAACAGCUCAGCAAAAUGCGCGUGGUAAACA